GACGAACGCUGGCGGCGUGCUUAACACAUGCAAGUCGAGCGGUAAGGCCCUUUCGGGGGUACACGAGCGGCGAACGGGUGAGUAACACGUGGGUGACCUGCCCUUAGCUCUGGGAUAAGCCUGGGAAACUGGGUCUAAUACCGGAUAUGACUCCAUGACGCAUGUUGUGGGGUGGAAAGCCUUGUGCGGCUAGGGAUGGGCCCGCGGCCUAUCAGCUUGUUGGUGGGGUGAUGGCCUACCAAGGCGACGACGGGUAGCCGGCCUGAGAGGGCGACCGGCCACACUGGGACUGAGACACGGCCCAGACUCCUACGGGAGGCAGCAGUGGGGAAUCCUGCGCAAUGGGCGAAAGCCUGACGCAGCGACGCCGCGUGAGGGAUGACGGCCUCGGUUGUAACCU
rnacentral:rRNA from 1 species